AUUGAACGCUGGCGGCAGGCCUAACACAUGCAAGUCGAACGGUAACAGGAAGCAGAUUGCUGCUUUGCUGACGAGCGGCGGACGGGUGAGUAAUGUCUGGGAAACUGCCUGAUGGAGGGGGAUAACUACUGGAAGCGGUAGCUAAUACCGCAUAACGUCGCCAGACCAAAGAGGGGGACCUUCGGGCCCCUUGCCAUCGGAUGUGCCCAGAUGGGAUUAGCUAGUCGGUGGGGUAACGGCUCACCUAGGCGACGACCUCUAGCUGGUCUGAGAGGAUGACCAGCCACACUGGAACUGAGACACGGUCGAGACUCCUGCGGGAAGCAGCGGUGGAGAAUAUUGCACAAUGGGCGAGAGCCUGAUGCAGCCAUGCCGGGUAUAUGAAGAAGGCCUUCGGGUUGUAAAAUGCUUUCGGCGGGGAGAAAGGGAGUAUAGUUAAUACCUGUGCUCAUUGACGUUACCCGCAGAAGAAGCACCGGCUAACUCCGUG
rnacentral:rRNA from 1 species